CCGAGGGAGGAGGGAUGGAUGGAUUGGGAUGGAUGGAUUGGAUGGAAGAAGUAGGUCUGAGCAGGCAAGGGACGUGGGAAACUGGGAGGCUCUGCCCAGCGAGCGGGUGUUGUUCUAUAACGCUGUUGUGCAAAGCGAAAAGGAGGUGUGUGGAGUUUCGAGCUCCCCGGGCAGGAGAGCCCCCCGGCGGGGCCCCGGGGGCUGAGGCUGCGGGUGUUGCGCAGGCCCCCGCAGCCGGUGUCGGGGUGAAGGCGCUGGGCCCCUUCACCUCCCACAGGUCCCAGAGCAGCUUUAGGAGGUCACUCGUAACGGUGAGGCUGCGUGUGAGUAAGGGCGCACGCCAUGGCUCUGAUGGCUGGGGAACAAUGUCGGUGCCUCCACCUUUGGUUUUGGCGUUUUGAGCAGGUGUGGGCUGUGGGAUUUGGCCUUGCUGCGGGGCUACUGCAUCCUGUGGGCCAUAGCAGUCAGUUUCAGAUACCAAAGCAGAAGCGAGAAAGACCUCUUUGACUCAAACGGAGCUGAAAUAGCAACUGUGGAUUCAUUUUCUUUUUAAGCCCUUCCGGAACCAAAGAUUUGUAACUUUCCAAACUCAUAGAUGCCAUGGGGAAGACGCACAGAUGAGUUUUCUCAUGCUAACAGGAUCUUGUAUGUGAUCCAUGGGGCACUAUUGAACAUGGAGGCAGUUGCUUCUGAAUGAAAACUUGCUGAAGCUGGAAACAGCAUCUGCUGGAUCAUGUGGGAUCCGGGGCCCAGAGCCUCGUUUCUGCUUUUGCGUAAAAUUUGAUAGAAAAAUUCUUCUCAGCUUUGGAGACAUUCUGCCAGCUGCAAAUCCCAUUGCCGUCUAUUUUCAGACUUGUACAAUACCUGAACAAUAAGGGAUCCUGGGUUGUGGCUGUCACUUUGUAGUAGCAGAUAAAGAAAAUGUUAUUUCAGAUGUCUUUGAAAAUGUAAUUUUUGUUGGGUCUCAGAAUGUGCAUGUGGAAACACUGGCUCACCAGGAGUAAUCAUCUUAAGAAGAAGCACUAGUGCUUCACUUUGGAAUGGAACAAAGACAUUAAGUAAAGGCUGAGUUGCGGAGUUUGUGUUCAUGAGUUACAAAAACAUAGAGGCAUCAGUUCAGAUCUGCGUUUUAAAGAUUCACAAUUGCAAAUAACUUCUUUGUCAUUCAGAUUGGAGGAUUAGAAAUAGACACUUCUAAGCACCUGAAAUAAUGUAAGCUUACUGAAGUUCAGCUUUUCUGCAAAGAUGAAUUUUUAACAGACUGCCAUUGAUAGCAAGAAAUUUAUAUUUAAAGGUACAGAGAAACUAUUGUCACGCGCAACAAACCACUUUCCUGUUUUAGAAGCAUGAACAGAUUUCAGGACCAAAAUUUUUGCAAAGGUUAGAGACUAUCUUUUAGCUGUUGUGGUUUUUGUUCAUUGUGCAGUCAGUGGAACAAAAUCUGCUGAGGUUGGAAAAUUUUACUGUCGUAGGUAAAGCAUGAUGCAUACGUUAAAAAAAAUGUACAGUUACUUCCUGACAGCUAUAGAACAUACAAUACAAUGCUCUUAGAGAAAUAAGGUUACCACCUGUAGCAAGUUUCUGAAUGAAGAGGUGACAUUUUUCAUCAUGUAAAAUGCAAGGUUUUUUCUUUCAGAGUUUUCAACUGGAUGUUCUCUUUGGCAGGUACAGUUUGGCACCCUGUCUUUAGCACACACUUUAAAGUGGUUGUUAUGCCUAUGUAUGAUUAGAGGGUUGGAUUGUUAAGAAGCUUUUAAAGUUGCCCCUACAUAUCUUCUAGAGUCCAAAAUUCAGAGGUUCCAAGUGGAAAGGCCUUGUGUUCUUCUGGAGGCCACAGAUUUCACUGGUCUGUGCUGCUAAUGCAUCUGAAUCUGCUAGGGCAUUUGGGAAAGCAAGUUCUUUUUUUGUUGUAUCCUCCCCUCACUUAGAGCUUUUAUUUUUUAUAUUCUAGAGUGGUAGGACAUUGACAGCUAACAUCAGUUGUAGAGAGGGCCAUAGUAGACCAGCUAGAAGUUUGGGACUCGAUCUCUGUUUCCACACAAAAUAGGUUCUUCUAGGAGGAAUAGGUUGCCACAGUCUCAUCUGGAGAAGACAGAGACACAAAUGACAAGUAAUGAAACAGCCCAUGACCAAAAAAGGUCCCUUUUCUUCAACAACUAGAAGUCAAAGAAAGCAUUCCUGUCCAUGUGUUCCUAUCUCCUAGACUUAUGGGUUCAUAUUUGGCCAGACUGAAGAACCCAAAGUGCUUGAACAUGUUUCUUGGAAGUUGUCUCCAUGGGUGAGAGUCUGAGGCACAUUGGUUGGUAUCAGAUAUAGCAGUAGCUUGUUUUGUUACUUGUACUUUUUUGUACUGUACUUAUUUUUUCUUUUUCUGUAGGACUUCUGUUAUCUUGGCUUAUUAAUAGUUCCCUUUGUUAAUAUAAAAUGCAUUUAAUUUAUAAAUAAAAUAAUAUUUUCACAGUAAAGUAA